rnacentral:rRNA from 1 species
AUUGAACGCUGGCGGCAUGCCUUACACAUGCAAGUCGAACGGUAACAGGUCUUCGGAUGCUGACGAGUGGCGAACGGGUGAGUAAUACACCGGAACGUGCCUAGUAGUGGGGGAUAACUACUCGAAAGAGUGGCUAAUACCGCAUGAGAUCUACGGAUGAAAGCAGGGGAUCGCAAGACCUUGUGCUACUAGAGCGGCCGAUGGCAGAUUAGGUAGUUGGUGGGAUAAAAGCUUACCAAGCCGACGAUCUGUAGCUGGUCUGAGAGGACGAUCAGCAACACUGGGACUGAGACACGGCCCAGACUCCUACGGGAGGCAGCAGUGGGGAAUUUUGGACAAUGGGCGCAAGCCUGAUCCAGCAAUGCCGCGUGCAGGAUGAAGGCCUUCGGGUUGUAAACUGCUUUUGUACGGAACGAAAAGCCCUGGGUUAAUACCCUGGGGUCAUGACGGUACCGUAAGAAUAAGCACCGGCUAACUACGUGCCAGCAGCCGCCGUAACAC